GACUGAUUUUGUAGAUUCAAUAUUUGUCUCCAGCACUUUCACACGGAUAAUCCCAGUUGACAUCGAAUUGGCCGACCUUAGGAUCGGCUUGGGAGCAGCAGCAACAAAGUACAUAUUCUCACAUUUUCUUGGAAUGAAUCAAUGCAACCACAGGUGAUGUCCUAAAUCAUAUCUGUGAUGCUGUGUAUUCUUGAUCCAUACCCA
rnacentral:lncRNA from 1 species